CCAGAUUAUCUGCGGAAAAAAAUUAGUUCAUUUUGGAAAAGUUUGAAGCAUUAAAAGAAAUUUGAUCCCCAACGUUUUUUCAUCUUCGCUAUAUGUUGAUGACAAUCCAACCAAGAAUUGAGAAGAAACUGAGGUAUGCCAGUAUCCAUUAAAGAUUCUGUCUUUAAUUUUCUAACAUGUGGUAUUGCUUUCUGUUGUUUCAACUUGUAGGAUCAGAGUAUUUCUGUGAACCCUCUACUUUUUUUCUUUCUUUUUAGGUGCCAAAGCUUGGCAUUCAUGUGCAUGCACAACCUAAUUGGGCUAAUUGGGAGAGUUGAUAAUAAGAAUUUGAUUGCUUCUACUGGUUUCAUAUAUAUAUAUAUAUAUAUAUAUUCUUUAGAUUGUGAGAGACCAGUACCUUCCUUAUCUUUUUCUCUUUUCAAAUCAGAAAAAGACAUGUACCCUUGAGAAUGUAGAGCAUGAUAAAUUUGUGGGGUACCCUAUAAAGAUGUGUUUGAUAGGGUACCAUGUCUCAUGAUUCAAUGCAACUGCACAUAAAAAAAAAAAAAAAAAAGAGAGAGAGGAAGAGAUAUAUACAGAAGGGAAAUGAAAGCUAUAAUGCUCUCUAUCUUAUGGAUGAUGAUGAUGACCAUUACGGGUUUUUACAAGUGGGUGGUUGGAGCAUUAUCAAAAAGUGAUAGAGAUGUAGUUGGGUGGGACGUUAAUGGAUUUGAUUAUCACACCCGUGAGAGAGAGAGAGAGAGAGAGAGAGAGAGAUUGAUAGAAAAAGAAACAGACAAUAAAGAAAUUGCAUGCCCUGCCCAUCAAUGUUUUAAAUUUACCCAUCAUCUUUUGUUAUCUUUAAAUUAUCUCGUCUCUCUUUCUUUCUAUCUAUCUAUCUUAAAAGGAAGUGUUUGAACAAUUUUUUGCUUUGCUUGUUCUUCUGAAUCUGCUCCUUCUCAUCAUCCCCAUAUAUUAUAUUAAGGUGUUGAGUUUAGAUUGCAAUGGAGAGUGAUGAACAAGUAAGCAAGAAGGACAUAAAGGUGGAGAUUCCAGCAGAUGAGACUGAGAAGUACGUGUGUGCCGGGCUCUCAAGACAGCUGAGCAUGACGAAGAACAAUUGCCUCUGCUCCCCCACCACGCAUGCAGGCUCAUUCAGGUGCAGGCUGCACCGUGCCCCGAGCCUCCAGCGGACUAAAAGCAUGGACUGUCGUGGCCCAGCGUCUAAGGCAGGCUAAAUACUAAAUACUACCACUGCUACUGCUGCUGCUGCUAUGUACAACCAAAGCUCAGUAAUUUCUAAAGAAAAAUAAGUGCGAAUUGUUGCUUAUAUAUAUAUAUAUACAUAUAUGUAUUUAUUAUGGCUCUUUGCUGAAGUUUGGAGUUUUCACAUUCUCCUUGUAUUCUGCUCUUUGUAACCAUUGUUUUUGUAUUGAGAGAAUUAAAGCAUGGCGUUUUAUCAAGUGUCUUAUAAUUUAUAAAAAAUUAUUGAUUUCGAC
rnacentral:lncRNA from 1 species